GAUGAACGCUGGCGGCGUGCCUAAUACAUGCAAGUCGAGCGAACAGAUGAGGAGCUUGCUCCUCUGACGUUAGCGGCGGACGGGUGAGUAACACGUGGGUAACCUACCUAUAAGACUGGGAUAACUUCGGGAAACCGGAGCUAAUACCGGAUAAUAUAUUGAACCGCAUGGUUCAAUAGUGAAAGAUGGUUUUGCUGUCACUUAUAGAUGGAUCCGCGCCGCAUUAGCUAGUUGGUAAGGUAACGGCUUACCAAGGCGACGAUGCGUAGCCGACCUGAGAGGGUGAUCGGCCACACUGGAACUGAGACACGGUCCAGACUCCUACGGGAGGCAGCAGUAGGGAAUCUUCCGCAAUGGGCGAAAGCCUGACGGAGCAACGCCGCGUGAGUGAUGAAGGUCUUCGGAUCGUAAAACUCUGUUAUUAGGGAAGAACAUAUGUGUAAGUAACUAUGCACGUCUUGACGGUACCUAAUCAGAAAGCCACGGCUAACUACGUG
rnacentral:rRNA from 1 species